rnacentral:lncRNA from 1 species
GGUUACUGAUCAGGACCAAGCUGAUACAGUAUUAUUGAUUAUUGAUUGGCAGACACCAGAGACAACAUGAACAUAGACUCUCUCCCCCCUUUGAGAGAGUCAGAGCAGAGCAGGGUGAAGCUGCCUCUAGACUCUACAGGCACCGAUCUAAAGGUCACUUCCUGUCCUGUCAGGUUGACUGAUCCUAGGUCAGUUCUACAGGGCCAGAGUUAGUAAGCACUACAGUGCUGUCCUGUCAGGUUAACUGAUCCUAGGUCAGUUCUACAGGACCAGAGUUAGUAUGACGUUGUCCCCUGAUCGCUCAAUGUUCUGCUUGUUGAUUGGCCACAAUUAGACAGUUCUGCUUGUUGAUUGGCCACAAUUAGACAGUUCUGCUUGUUGAUUGGACACAAUUAGACAGUUCUGCUUGUUGAUUGGCCUCAAUUAGACAGUUCUGCUUGUUGAUUGGCCAAUUAGACAGUUCUGCUUGUUGAUUGGACACAAUUAGACAGUUCUGCUUGUUGAUUGGACACAAUUAGACAGUUCUGCUUGUUGAUUGGACACAAUGACAAUUAGACAGUUCUGCUUGUUGAUUGGACACAAUUAGACAGUUCUGCUUGUUGAUUGGCCACAAUUAGACAGUUCUGCUUGUUGAUUGGCCACAAUUAGACAGUUCUGCUUGUUGAUUGGCCACAAUUAGACAGUUCUGCUUGUUGAUUGGCCACAAUUAGACAGUUCUGCUUGUUGAUUGGCCAGUUCGACAGUUCUGCUUGUUGAUUGGCCACAGUUAGACAGUUUUGACAGGCAGCUGUAACUCGGCUGUGAUUUGUCCUGUCUAUCUGUCUGUGCCCACUGUUGGUUCUGACUCUCUCCAGAUAUCUUGUCUUGAGCCGUGACAACCUGUGGAGAAGACAAUAGGCCACAUGUUAGAGGAUAGACAGGGAUGUUACAUCUCUCUACAACACAGAGGAUAGACAGGGAUGUUACAGUCUCUCUACAACAGAGGAUAGACAGGGAUGUAUCAGCCUCUCUACAACAUAGAGGAUAGACAGGGAUGUUACAGUCUCUCUACAACAUAGAGGAUAGACAGGGAUGUUACAGUCUCUCUACAACAUAGAGGAUAGACAGGGAUGUUACAGUCUCUCUACAACAUAGAGGAUAGACAGGGAUGUUAGUCUCUCUACAACAGAGGAUAGACAGGGAUGUUAGUCUCUCUACAACAGAGGAUAGACAGGGAUGUUACAGUCUCUCUACAACAGAGGAUAGACAGGGAUGUUACAGCCUCUCUACAACAGAGGAUAGACAGGGAUGUUACAGUCUCUCUACAACAGAGGAUAGACAGGGAUGUUACAGUCUCUCUACAACAUAGAGGAUAGACAGGGAUGUUACAGCCUCUCUACAACAGAGGAUAGACAGGGAUGUUACAGCCUCUCUACAACAGAGGAUAGACAGGGAUGUUACAGGCUCUCUACAACAUAGAGGAUAGACAGGGAUGUUACAGUCUCUCUACAACAGAGGAUAGACAGGGAUGUUACAGCCUCUCUACAACAUAGAG